UACGGAGGGUGCGAGCGUUGUCCGGAAUCACUGGGCGUAAAGGGCGCGUAGGUGGCGCGAGGAGUCUGUGGUGAAAGCCCGAGGCUCAACUUCGGGUCGGCCGCGGAUACUCUCGUGCUGGAGGGUGGUAGAGGCCAAUGGAAUUCCGGGUGUAGCGGUGGAAUGCGUAGAGAUCCGGAAGAACACCGGUGGCGAAGGCGGGUUGGCUGGGCCACACCUGGACACUGAGGCGCGACAGCGUGGGGAGCAAACAGG
rnacentral:rRNA from 1 species